rnacentral:rRNA from 1 species
CAAGGUAACCGUAAAUAUGCGGACGGUGAUACACGUGGCACUAUGCCUGUUUGGUUCGGAAUAACUCAGGGAAACUUGUGCUAAUACCGAAUGUGCCCUUCGGGGGAAAGAUUUAUCGCCAUUAGAGCGGCCCGCGUCUGAUUAGCUAGUUGGUGAGGUAAAGGCUCACCAAGGCGACGAUCAGUAGCUGGUCUGAGAGGAUGAUCAGCCACAUUGGGACUGAGACACGGCCCAAACUCCUACGGGAGGCAGCAGUGGGGAAUCUUGCGCAAUGGGCGAAAGCCUGACGCAGCCAUGCCGCGUGAAUGAUGAAGGUCUUAGGAUUGUAAAAUUCUUUCAGCGGGGACGAUAAUGACGGUACCCGGAGAAAAAGCCCCGGUUAACUUCGUGCCAGCACCCGCGGUAAUACGAAGAGGGCUAGCGUUGCUCGAAAUUA